rnacentral:rRNA from 1 species
GAUUAUGGCUCAGAAUGAACGCUGGCGGCGUGUCUUAAGCAUGCAAGUCGUGCGGCAAGGGUAGCAAUACCCCUAGAGCGGCGGACUGGUGAGUAACGCGUGGGUGAUCUGCCUUUGGGAUGGGGAUAGCCAUUAGAAAUAGUGGGUAAUACCGAAUACGAUCGCGAGACUAUGGUUUUGCGAUGAAAGGCGCUUCGGCGCCACCCGAAGAUGAGCCCGCGUCCCAUUAGCUAGUUGGUGAGGUAAAGGCCCACCAAGGCGAUGAUGGGUAGGCGGCCUGAGAGGGUGUACGCCCACACUGGGACUGAGAUACGGCCCAGACUCCUACGGGAGGCAGCAGCUAAGAAUAUUCCGCAAUGGACGAAAGUCUGACGGAGCGACGCCCGCGUGGAUGACGAAGGCCGAAAGGUUGUAAAAUCCUUUUGUUGGGGAAGAAUAACCAUGGGAGGGAAUGCCCGUGGGAUGACCAUGAACCGACGAAUAAGUCCCGGCUAACUACGUGCCAGCCGCCGC